UACGGGGGGAGCAAGCGUUGUUCGGAUUUACUGGGCGUAAAGGGCGCGUAGGCGGUCAGCACAAGUCAGUUGUGAAAUCUCCGGGCUUAACUCGGAAAGGUCAACUGAUACUGUGCGACUAGAGUGCAGAAGGGGCAACUGGAAUUCUCGGUGUAGCGGUGAAAUGCGUAGAUAUCGGGAGGAACACCAGUGGCGAAGGCGGUUGCCUGGAGCUUUGCUGACGCUGAUGCGCGAAAGCGUGGGGAGCGAUCCGG
rnacentral:rRNA from 1 species